UUCCGGUUGAUCCCGCCGGAGGUUACUGCCCUUUUAGUUCGACUAAGCCAUGCAAGUCAUAUGUUCCUCGUGAACAUGGCAUACUGCUCAGUAACACGUGGAUAACCUGCCCUUGGGUCUGGGAUAACCCCGGGAAACUGGGGAUAAUACCGGAUAACGCAUAUGUGCUGGAAUGCUUUAUGCGUAAAAUGGAUUCGUCCGCCCAAGGAUGGGUCUGCGGCCUAUCAGGUAGUAGUGGGUGUAAUGUACCUACUAGCCAACAACGGGUACGGGUUGUGAGAGCAAGAGCCCGGAGAUGGAUUCUGAGACAUGAAUCCAGGCCCUACGGGGCGCAGCAGGCGCGAAAACUUUACAAUGCGGGAAACCGUGAUAAGGGAACACCGAGUGCCAGCAUCAUAUGCUGGCUGUCCAGAUGUGUAAACUACAUCUGUUAGCAAGGGCCGGGCAAGACCGGUGCCAGCCGCCGCGGUAACACCGGCGGCCCGAGUGGUGACCGUUAUUAUUGGGUCUAAAGGGUCCGUAGCCGGUUUGGUCAGUCCUCCGGGAAAUCUGAUAGCUUAACUGUUAGGCUUUCGGGGGAUACUGCCAGGCUUGGAACCGGG
rnacentral:rRNA from 1 species